rnacentral:rRNA from 1 species
GAUGAACGCUAGCUACAGGCUUAACACAUGCAAGUCGAGGGGAAACGAUAGAGAAAGCUUGCUUUUUAUAGGCGUCGACCGGCGCACGGGUGAGUAACGCGUAUCCAAUCUGCCCAUCACUUGGGGAUAACCUUGAGAAAGUAAGACUAAUACCCAAUGACGUCUCUAGAAGACAUCUGAAAGAGAUUAAAGAUUUAUCGGGGAUGGAUGGGGAUGCGUCUGAUUAGCUUGUUGGCGGGGUAACGGCCCACCAAGGCGACGAUCAGUAGGGGUUCUGAGAGGAAGGUCCCCCACAUUGGAACUGAGACACGGUCCAAACUCCUACGGGAGGCAGCAGUGAGGAAUAUUGGUCAAUGGACGAGAGUCUGAACCAGCCAAGUAGCGUGCAGGAUGACGGCCCUAUGGGUUGUAAACUGCUUUUAUAAGGGAAUAAAGUGAGUCUCGUGAGACUUUUUGCAUGUACCUUAUGAAUAAGGACCGGCUAAUUCCGUGCCAGCAGCCGCCGUAACAC